rnacentral:lncRNA from 1 species
CUCUGCUGUCCCUCUUCCUCCUCCUCCUGUGUCAGCUAUUGCUGCAACUGCAGUUGCAGGCCUCCAUCUAGAACAGAAGCAGAAAUAGCUGUUGCUAUUGUUGCUCUUCCUUUUUCCCCUGCCUUUCUUCUUUCUCGCUUCAUCAAGGUGCAUACCUUGCAUUGCUUUUUGCGCCUAGGCUUCAAGGGACCUUGAUAUUGCUAUUUUUUGUAUGUAUAUUGCUAUAUUUGUGCCUUGCUUCGUCAAGGCGCGUAGGCUCCAAGAGAUCUUGGCACCUUUAUGCAUCUAGAGUCUUUUGCAACUUUGUACUUCAAGAGACUUUGAUAUUGAUAUUUUUAUAAAUAUAUUGGUAUCUUUGCACCUUGCUUUGUAAGGUAAGCACCUUGCUUUGUGCCUUGCGCCUAGACUCCCAUAGACAUUGGCGCCUUUGUGCGCCUUGAGCCUUUGACAUCUUUGUCAUAUCCUAGGUUUACUUCUAUAUUUAAUUCUAGUUCUCAACAUUGACAAUUGACAGUAUUUUCAUGGCUGGUGUUUUUGCUUUGAACUGACAAAUUUCUAAUUUCGGAACAAUAUCUGGCUAAUUAGAACCAAUAUGAAUACAGGUUAAAUAAUAAAAGCCAAUACUAUAUAGUUUGGUCUAUGCUUUAGAGGUUAACAAAUGACGUAGAUAGUUCAAUGCCCAUGAAUUAGGAAUCUUUUUCAGAUGACAAACCUUAUUAUAGAUCCAAGUAGUCAUACCUGAUUUGCAUUCCAUAUGAGAAACAAUAAUGGCCUUUAUGCAUCUUUGGGGCAACGACCUCUGUGCUCAAUCUAAGAUAACACUCUUAGGAAAACAACUACCAAAAUGGUAAUAUUGGCCCAAGCUUCCGUGUCAAAGAUGGGGUUUCUACUUUGCCAGGCCUAACAGUUGCUUAUCCCAUCAUUCAGAGAUAACCCCCUAAAGGAAGAUGACAACAAGUAAUCUUCUUUGCAUGGGUUAAACUUGUGAAUCUACCAGGCUUAUCCUAAUCUUGAACAAAAGUCAACCUAAAUAUGCCUUCUCGCCCAUUUCUUCAAUGAGCAUUGAAAGCUGUUAUUUAGACUCAACUACAUAUGUUGCUGAGAGGAAUUAUCUCUUUAUUUCGAUUCUGACCAAAAAAUUUUAAAACUUGGAUAAAAUCCAUUUCCAGAUAUUUGGCUUAAACAGAAAAUCAAGUAGCUUAUCCUCCUGUGCAGUUAUGCUUGGGACCACCAAAUGAGUGUUGCCAUGUUUUUGCCUCUUGCAUAAGAAAAAAACAGGAAGACAGAACUCUUAACAACUUUAGCUAGAGCCACUAAGAAACUAAUUUUAAAAAUCCAGUAAGAAAGUACCAAGGAACUUGAUCCCAAAAAAAAAAAAUCUUGUCUAUUUUCUUACUUUUUGGGGAAAAAGGAGUAAAGUCUGGUUUGCUUAGUAAUACAUAUAAAUACUCCUUUGCUAGAUGGGUCUUUCUCUGGUUAAACAAACUUUCAAACCCACCUGGUUAAUUUGCAUUUUGAGUCGUAGAAAACUCCUGUUGGUUGAUUUAUCUCACAUGGCAAGUUGGAAGUCUGAUGCUGCUUUCCAUUGCCAAUUCUUAAAAUGAUGAAAAUUUUCUUGGUUUAUUGUAUCCUUAAGUCCGUCACUAUGUAAGUUACACGACUAUUUCAGUUUUAUGUGAUGUUUUUAUUUUCCAACUGUUGGCUGAUGAAAACUUAUGUUUCAUAAGAUCCUUAUGACCAUCCAUAAUUCCAUAUGAACUGUUUCAAUUAUCAGCAUUAGAAUAAGUCAGGUGUUUCAAGGUUUAUAGUGUCAAGAAACUCAGUAGCAAGUAUAGCCUUUAAAUAAGAAAGAAUGGUGAAUCAAGGAGUCAUCCCAAAUUUUUAAGGCUUGCUGGAUAUCAUACUGAACUGACGGUGCAGAAUCCUUUUUGAGUUCAACAUAUUCUAUUCCAGUGGUUUGUGCAUAUAUUUCUGAUUACUCAUGGCUCUACUUACAUGUGCUACAUGUUUGGAGUUACGGAAUGCCUAUAGUAUAUUUACACAUUGAAAGUUAUUACUUUACCCAUUGAAAGCUGUUACUUCUAUGCAUGGAUGGUUAUGAUGUUCUGCAUGUUAAGGUGUUAAUCUUGAUUGGGUACUUUGAACUUUGGCCAUACUCUUUUGAAGAACUCCCUUUUAUUCUCCUCCAAGUUCUUUUUGAUGUAAAAAUAUAGAACACCAACCAAAACUUUAUAAUGUGUGUUUGAGCGAGUACUUUUGAACUCACGUUAAUAUUGUGCAUCUCUGGACUACUCUGCAGGUCCCAACUGAUAUAUCCUCCCAAGAUAAACUUUUCAGAGCUGAGGUAUCUUCUAGUUAUUUUAUGUGUGCUUGAUUAUCCGUAUAUUGUGUUUAAUAUCUUUCAUUUCUUCUUUGAAUGGCGCUCUGUUUCUUCCAAUAUAGUGCUUAAGAUUUCUCAAUUUUGCUCUAUGUGGAUAGUAAAUGAUUGCUGUCCAUUUCAUUCUGCAUGCCAUUCAAUUGCAACAUAUGACUUUAAAUUUGUUUUAUCUCAUGAUUAUUUGGGAACAAGGUAUGCCGUACCGCUCCGUACCAUCCAAUACAGGGCUUACCGUACCAUACUGGGAGAAAACCAGUAUAAAACACACCUUCAAGUCGGUAUCGUUUGUAGAGAUGCGUAUUGGUCUAUACUGAGGCGUACCGAGAUAAAAAUUGAGAAAAAUGGUUAGAGAGCUAUUUGGCAUAGAGGUGUUCCAUACUGUACCAAACCGAAGCUCUUGCUAGAUAUUCCACCUAUACAUAACAUCUGCUUGAAGCUCUUGCUAGAUAUUUUAGGAUAUGAACCACAGCAUAUUGGAGUGGCUUUCCAGGUGCACAAACAAACUGAUUGAUGAUGCUAUUGAUUAAUAAUUUGGAUGCGUAAUCACUUCAUUGCUUUAAUUAUGCAACAUUCUUUUGUCUUUUCUCUGGAAAAUCCAAUAAUGAUCUUAUGAUAUUGAUCAAACUUCUCUGAUAAUUGGGAGAAAAAACUAGUUCAUCUUUAAAACUUUUUGUAUUUACAGAUCCUUUUUAUGUAAUUUUAGUGUUAGUUAGCAUCCUAUUUUGAGUAGGACUGCUACUUGAAUAAUGUAAUUCAGUUAUAUUUUGGUUUAUAGAAGUCUUAAAGACAAUAAGGCUUAAUUUUGUUUAGCAUUCUACUUUGAGCAGGAUUAGUAUCUAGUUAUCGUAAUUCUAUAUUUUGGUUAAUAGAAGUCCUAAAGACAUUAAGAUUUAGUUUGGAAAGCUUUAUAUGCCUCUCUCUUUCAGGUUUCAUUGGUAAUCCAAAUUUGUAUUUUGAAAAAUAUUUCAAGAAGUAAUGUAGGAGAAUAAUUAGUAAUUAUGCUCUGGCAAGAUUCAAGUUAGGAAACAUGGGAAACUGACUGAAUUAAUAAACAGAGGACUUUGUAGAGCUGAAAAAGAAACGUUCAAGCUGUAUUUUUGACAAAGGAAAACAAAAGAAAGCUAACCACAUUCUUCUUUUGUUCUCCUCUAUCUUUGUUUAAAGCUCUCAAUCUAAUCUCUCUCGCUCUCUCUCUCUCUCACUCACUCACUCACUCACUCACUCAUGCACAAGGUUCGCCAUACCGGUACCGAACCCCGUACCGGUGCCGCAUUAGUAUAGGUGUACCGAGUGUCGGUACGGUACCGUACGCUCGGUACCGACAUUGGUGUACCGAUACCGGUACUCAUCGGUACGGGUACGGUACGCUCGGUACCGACCGGUACCGACCGGUACAGCGAACCUUGCUCAUGCAUGUCUCCUUCUAUACUGUCUUCUACUAUUACAUAAUCUUACGGUUU